CAUUCAGGUGCACGUACACAUAAAGCGGCAUUUGAUGAAGGAAUUGCCAGAAACAGAUGAUAGUGUUGCACAGUGGUGUAAAGAUAUUUUUGUGGCCAAGGAUGCAUUACUGGACAAGCAUAUGGCUAAUGACACCUUCAGUGCCCAAGAAUUGCAAGAUCAUGGUCGAUCAAA